rnacentral:rRNA from 1 species
AACGAACGCUGGCGGCAGGCUUAACACAUGCAAGUCGAACGCCCCGCAAGGGGAGUGGCAGACGGGUGAGUAACGCGUGGGAAUCUACCCAAUUCUACGGAACAACUGAGGGAAACUUCAGCUAAUACCGUAUACGCCCUACGGGGGAAAGAUUUAUCGGAAUUGGAUGAGCCCGCGUUGGAUUAGCUAGUUGGUGGGGUAAUGGCCUACCAAGGCGACGAUCCAUAGCUGGUCUGAGAGGAUGAUCAGCCACACUGGGACUGAGACACGGCCCAAACUCCUACGGGGGGCAGCAGUGGGGAAUAUUGGACAAUGGGCGAAAUCCUGAUCCAGCCAUGCCGCGUGAUUGAUGAAGGCCUUAGGGUUGUAAAGCUCUUUCAGUGGAGAAGAUAAUGACGGUACCCACAGAAGAAGCCCCGGCUAACUUCGUGCCAGCCGCCGCGGUAAUAC